CAGUGGUCCGUGGACUCUAUAUUGGGAAGCAUUGAUGUCUACAACAUUGCCUCGGCAGUGAAAGUGCAUACUGAAGGUAAAGAUUGUGGAAAGUCAUCUUUCACCUCGUGGACAAGGGUCAUACCCUAGGGAUGGCAAAGCAGAAAAAUGGAAGGAGCCUGUGUGCUCAACACUAUUGAGCUGCCACUUGGGCCUGGGCUGCCAUCUUGAAUGUUGAACCCAUCAGAAGCCUGGUGCCAUGGGAGCUGACCAGUGCAGGGAUGGUCUGGGAGCCUUGGUUUGCUGGAAUCCACUAGGAGACUGGUGUCCUGGGAGCUGCCUGGAG
rnacentral:lncRNA from 1 species